GGGGGUCUAGCUCAUUGGCAGAGCGCUUGCUUAGCACUUCAAAGUGUACGUUUGCAAGCGGUAUAGGGUUCGAUUCCCUAGUCCUCCA